rnacentral:snRNA from 1 species
AUCAUUUCCUGAUCUUUUGGCUAAGAUCAAGUGUGGUAUCUGAUCUUAUCUAUUUAAUAUCUGAUAUUUCCUCUAUUUGAGGAAUCUACAUUAAAAGAAAUUUUGGAAUCGGGAGAUGGAAUAGAGGCUUGCUCCAUCCACUUCAAUAAUAAUGAUAU